rnacentral:rRNA from 1 species
CCUACGGGAGGCAGCAGUGGGGAAUCUUGCGCAAUGGGCGAAAGCCUGACGCAGCGACGCCGCGUGGAGGAAGAAGGCCCUCGGGUUGUAAACUCCUUUCGUGAGGGAAAAAGCCCUGAGUUUAUCGAAGGGUGAUGGUACCUCAGGAAGAAGCCACGGCUAACUCUGUGCCAGCAGCCGCGGUAAGACAGAGGUGGCAAGCGUUGUUCGGAUUUACUGGGCUUAAAGGGCGUGUAGGCGUUCUGAUAAGUUAGAGGGGGAAUCCCCGAGCUUAACUCGGGAAUUGCAUCUAAAACUGUCAGGAUUGAGUCAUACAUGGGAGGGCGGAAUUCCUGGUGUAGCGGUGAAAUGCGUAGAUAUCAGGAGGAAGGCCGGUGGCGAAGGCGGCUUUCGGGACUUCUCCUGACGCUGAGGCGCGAAAGCUAGGGUAGCGAACGGGAUUAGAUCCCCUGGUAGU